rnacentral:rRNA from 1 species
CGGCCGCGGGANNUCGAUUAGAGUUUGAUUCUGGCUCAGAACGAACGCUGGCGGCAGGCUUAACACAUGCAAGUCGAACGCCCCGCAAGGGGAGUGGCAGACGGGUGAGUAACGCGUGGGAACGUGCCCUUCGCUUCGGAAUAGCCCCGGGAAACUGGGAGUAAUACCGGAUACGCCGUAUUGGGAAAGAUUUAUCGGCGAAGGAUCGGCCCGCGUUAGAUUAGCUAGUUGGCGGUGUAAUGGACCACCAAGGCUACGAUCUAUAGCUGGUCUGAGAGGAUGAUCAGCCACACUGGGACUGAGACACGGCCCAGACUCCUACGGGAGGCAGCAGUGGGGAAUCUUGGACAAUGGGCGCAAGCCUGAUCCAGCCAUGCCGCGUGAGUGAAGAAGGCCUUAGGGUUGUAAAACUCUUUCGCCGGUGAAGAUAAUGACGGUAACCGGAGAAGAAGCCCCGGCUAACUUCGUGCCAGCAGCCGCGGUAAUACGAAGGGGGCUAGCGUUGUUCGGAAUUACUGGGCGUAAAGCGCACGUAGGCGGGUUUGUAAGUAGAGGGUGAAAUCCCAGGGCUCAACCCUGGAACUGCCUUCUAGACUGCAAGCCUGGAGGUCAGGAGAGGCGAGUGGAAUACCGAGUGUAGAGGUGAAAUUCGUAGAUAUUCGGUGGAACACCAGUGGCGAAGGCGACUCGCUGGACUGAUACUGACGCUG